GCAUCCUAAGGCAGGGCGGGCGGGGCCUCCCGAAGAGAAAGCGCGGGUCCUGGGGCGGGGCCUUUAGAAGAGAGCGCGGCUGAGCUCGGGGCGAGGCGGGGCCGGCCGCGCGUACUUAAGCAGUCUUGGCGCUUGCGGACGCCCCGCCAUGGCUCUGAGGUGCGUCGUUUCUGUGCUGCGCUUCGGCACUCCCCGCGUCGCCCCACUGUCCACGGCGCCCGUGGCUCGCGAGCAGUCCGCGGCUGGCGAGCAGUCCGCCGCAGGCCGGGAGGCCACUCCAGGAUGCCGGGCGGCCGAAGGUGCGCGACCGCCGUUGCCCGUCGUGGACUUCGGCAACACUCAGGAGGCGUACCGCAGCCGGCGCAGCUGGGAGCUGGCGCGCAGCCUGCUGGUGUUGCGCUUGUGCGCCUCACCUGCGCUGCUGGCGCACCACGAGCAGCUGCUCCAUCUCACCAGGAGACUUCUGGGGCAAAGGCUGUUUGACAAGCUGAUGAAGAUGACCUUCUAUGGGCAGUUUGUGGCUGGUGAGGACCAGGAGUCCAUCCGGCCCCUGAUCCAGCACAACAGGGCCUUUGGCGUGGGCUCCAUCCUGGACUACGGGGUGGAGGAGGAUCUGAGCCCCCAGGAGGCGGAGCACAAGGAGAUGGAGUCCUGUACAUCGGCUGUAGAGAGGGAGGGCAGUGGUACAAGUAAGAGGGAGAAGCAGUACCAGGCCCACCGGGCCUUUGGAGACCGCAGGGAUGGUGUCAUCAGUGCCCGCACCUACUUCUAUGCCAACGAAGCCAAGUGUGACAGCCACAUGGAGACGUUCUUGCGCUGCAUUGAGGCUUCAGGCAGAGCCAGUGAUGAUGGCUUCUCAGCCAUCAAGCUCACCGCAUUGGGGAGACCCCAGUUUCUGCUGCAGUUCUCAGACGUGCUGACCAAGUGGAGACGAUUCUUUCACCAAAUGGCUGCAGAGCAAGGGAAGGCUGGGCUGGCUGCCAUGGACAUGAAGCUGGAGGUGGCAGUGCUACAGGAAAGUGUGGCAAAGAUGGGCAUCGCAUCCAGGACGGAGAUUGAGAGCUGGUUCACUGCGGAGACCUUGGGCGUGUCUGGCACUCUGGACCUACUGGACUGGAGCAGCCUCAUCGACAGCAGGACUGAGCUCUCUAAGCACCUGGUGGUCCCUAACAUGCAGACAGGACAGCUGGAGCCUCUCCUGUCACAGUUCACGGAGGAGGAAGAGCUGCAGAUGACGAGGAUGCUGCAAAGAAUGGACAUCCUGGCCAAGAAAGCCACCGAGGUGGGCGUGCGGCUGAUGGUGGAUGCCGAGCAGACCUACUUCCAGCCAGCCAUCAGCCGCCUGACACUGGAAAUGCAGCGCAAGUUCAACAUAGAGAAGCCGCUCAUCUUCAACACAUACCAGUGCUACCUCAAGGACGCCUAUGACAACGUCACCCUGGAUGUGGAGCUGGCUCGCCGUGAGGGCUGGUGCUUUGGGGCCAAGCUGGUGCGGGGUGCAUAUAUGGCCCAGGAACGCGCCCGUGCCGUGGAGAUUGGCUAUGAGGACCCCAUUAACCCUACGUACGAGGCCACUCAUGCCAUGUAUCACAGGUGCCUCAAUUAUGUCCUGGAGGAGCUGAAGCACAAUGCCAAGGCCAAAGUGAUGGUGGCCUCUCACAAUGAGGACACAGUUCGCUUCACGCUGCGCAGGAUGGAGGAGCUGGGCCUGCACCCUGCUGACCGUCAGGUGUACUUUGGACAGCUACUGGGCAUGUGUGAUCAGAUCAGCUUCCCACUAGGACAACCCAUCCCCAUUCCUGUCCUUGUACACAAGGAAGACGUCUCUGGUGAUUUGGAAGAUUCUGAUACAUAGAUCAACAAUAGUUCAUCACAGAGGCCCCACUGAGACCCAGUCUGAGCUGCCUGUUGCUGCAAGACCCCAACCUUCAAGCAAGUGUGGUGCCCACAGAAGCCCCUUGUGCCUUGCUGCUUGCAGCUUGUCGAGUCCCUGAUGCCAUGCUUAAGGCUGCCUUCCUUCAACAUCUUCCUAGAAGCUUCUUCAUGAUCUUCAACUGGAGAUUUUUCUGUGGGAACAGACAUCAGAGCAAAACUGCUCUUACACGUCAUUGGAAUGGGCCCCAAUCAGCAGUCAUGUUGCUGGUCCAUUGCAUUCUAUCUGGAGUCUUAAAUGCAUUUAUGUAAAAUGAUCUCGCAUCAGGUGACUGCUGUGAUGAGAACAAACUGGUCAUGAAGGUCAUCCUCCAAGACAGUUAACUAUGAAGAUGGCUGACAGUGUCCAGCAGCAAAGUAUGGGAUCUCAGGUUUUCUCUGAAUGGGCCAACCUCUCAAAAGUGAGAUCAUAACCAAAAUGGGGGACUGAGAAUGGAAGAUACAAAAGAACAGUGGCCUGGCCAUAUAUAAAAAUAGGACUCUGACAUGAGGUCUGCAGCAACCAGCCCAGGAAAUCAACCCACUUUCUUCAGUUUUGGCAUAUUACCUAGAAGUCAGACGUGUAGGUGUCAGACCGCUCUCUCGAGCAAACAGCCCCGGAAGCUAAAUAAUAACCUCUGUAUUGAAUUGACUGGCCCCAAAUGGCCAAGACUUGAUUUGCCACUGCGAGUAUCCCUGAAUUUUGUCCUCACUUGCAACUUAAGACCAGCAGAUAAAACCACAGAUGCACCCCUAACAAUGAUAUAGGAUGCCCUUCUUCUAGAACACUCACCAUAGCUUCCUUACGCCAAUAGUCUCCUGCAUCACUGAGGCCUUGUAUUAUUCUGUCUCUACAAAGUUUCUCUAACUUCUGUCCAUCUCUGAGUCUGCCCAAAGGCAAGGGAUAGUGGCUGACUCCCUUGCUCUAGCAAAUUUUGAAGAAAUCACCUGUACUUAUUAUCAUUUGUUUCGUCUUUAUUUGUAUCCACAGCAACACUGAGUAGUGUCAAAAAACACUGAAUGGUUCAGGUAGGGAGCUGGGCUAAGUCAAGAGUGCUGGGCCCACCCUGCUGGGGACCCACUGAAGUCUGCUUCUAGCUCAAGUACUCCUUACACUGGUAUUUUCCUGAUUUGGGUGGUUCUGGAAAUGCAUAACUUUCCCAUUCCCUUCAACUCCCUAGACUUCUCCAGCAAGCAUCUGGUUCCAGAAGUUCUGUGGUCUUGGUGUUCAGCUUUGGAAACAUUGAGACCAAGUUCUGAAACAACCAUGUGGAACUGCUGAGUAAGAAAGUCGAGAUGGUGUGGGCUAGAGAUUUUAAAAUUGAAUCGAGGCCAUCCUAGGUCAGAAAGAUUGGAAAUUAUCAGUAUAGAUGCUACCUGAAAGAAAAAGAAAGUAGGAAAAUAUGUCUGGUGAUCCUCAAGUAGUGUCCUGGGGAGGGGGUCUCCAAGAUGUGGUUAUGGGGAAGGCACUCCCAGAGGAGAUAAGGCUCUGUCCCCUGCCACAAAGGGGUCUAGACUCAUCAAAAGGAUAACGAGUCUGUAGAAACUGGAUCUGGGGGAUGAAGGAAGGAGCAGGGAAAGUGGAUACUCAGAGCCAGAACAGCCCUGUGUUCAUUCUCAGCCAAGUCUAGGCUUAGUCCAUGCAGCUUAGACACUUCAAUCAAUAGCCAGUGAGACAUGGAAGGCCACAGACAAUUUAUGAAGCCACCAAAGCACUAGCCCAGGUGGCCACUCUCCCAAUUACUUCACAAUACCUGCUCAUCCAGAGCUGGUCAGUUGAAGGGAAGCUAAUUCUUAGUAGAGCCAUCAUGUGACCAUUGGUUUGGAAUGUCUUGGCUUCUGAGUCAGCUUGGGAGCCAAACAACCCUGCUCAGUGAGGGUGUUCAACUGGUCACCUGGAAGGCACCAUGUGAGAUGGCUGAUUGUGUGAAGAUGCCGGGGAAGGAUGGCCCACAUUGGGCUUCCCCUCAUCCUUCAGAGGGGCUUCACUUGGGGGCAACUGCAUCGUGUUUUGGGUCCAGGAUUGAAACCUAGAGAUGGGAAACUGAGUUAGGAUCUGGGUUUUUCUCUUGGCUCAGGCACCUCCUCCAAGGCAUCAACUGUCUCCUUCACAGAAAAUGGGGCAGGAGGAUUUGAGGAAGAGACUGAGGGGCCCCUGGUUAGGGGUGCAGGGCAUGAUUUCAGGUGUUCAGUGAUCUCUCUCUCCAGGGAACCAGCUAAAUUUCUGUCUUGAACACCCAACUAAACAGUUUAGUGACUUUUGGUGAGUCACUUUUUCUCUCUAAAUCUGAAUGCCCCCACUGUAAAAUACAGAUGAUAGGCCCUGCUCUGCCGCCUCCCACCUCAACAGGGCUGACACAGAAACCACAGGAGAUCACAGAUAUUCUCUUUGAGCUGUAAGCAUCUCUCCAUAUAAAGGCUAACAGGAAGCUUAUAUCCUCCCCUGUUGUGGAGCCAUCCACAACACCUCUCUGGAUUCAACCACUACCAAGUGUCUACCUUAUUUAGUGAUUGAACAUCUAGGGUAGUUAUGAAACACCAGCCACUUAUUUUUCUGAAGACUUUACUUGUGUUUAAUCAUUUUGAGCUCACAACUUAAUACUAAAAAUUAGGCCCUAUUAACAUUUCAAUAUCUCAGAACAGAGAAACAAGUCACAGAGGGGUCUAUACAACUUUCUCAGGUACAUGGAGCUUCUAAGCAGAGUUUUGACCCAGGCCUUCAGUCAUGGACUAUGUACUUGCUGUGCUUCUAUAAUGCCUCAGGGAAAUAAAACUAUUUGCUCACAAAACCUGUCUGUUGGGUGUUCGAAGUGUACACCCAGUUGCAAGAUCUCUAGAAGUCCAACUUGGCUUCACAAGGCUCUGCUGGUCAGCUGGCGAAUAAUGGAAUCAAAAGAUUGAUUGUGAAUACAUUAUCACUAAUUUCCCUAUGGACUUCUACAGCAAGGUGUCAGCAGUUCUCUCUAUUGCAAUGCAUUUCCCAGGAUCUUGUUUCAAGGAUGAAGAAGAAGAAAUGUUCCCCUGAGGUCAAGAAUAUCAACUGGCACCAGGCAGUGCUUCAGAAAACUCCACAUCUGGCAAACAACAGGGGGUACUCUAUAAAUGACCCCAUUGAGUGUAUUUUCUAGGAUCAUGGCUCAGAUUACAAAAAGAGAGGAUCCUAAGUGAUUCAAACACAGGACUCACAAGAAAGGCAUCUGUGCUCAAGACAAUCUCCUGGCUUUCCCCAGCAGUGCUUCAGCAGCAUCAAGAUGGACAACUUUCCAAACAACAGGGUCGAGCCACAAAUAACACCCCAAUGAAUGACGACUCCAUUGAAGAAGGUAGUGUGGGUAUAAAAUCAGUAAGUAGAUUCAAGAGGAGUAAGGGUAGUUUGUACAGUGGAGACUGGAUGUUGGUGAGGAUGAAAGGAGCAGGGAAGGUGUACACUCAGAGGCAGGGAGCCCCUGCCCGCUCCUAGCCAUGCCUUUAUCCAGGCUGCUCAGAUGGUGGGUCAGAUUGUUCAUCAGGGAGACACUGGGGCCUCUAGACUUUAUCUUCCACAGCACCAACCUAGCAGACCCCUUUCCUAGCUACUGUCAACUGCUCAUCACCCAGGUUUGGUCAGUUGAAGAUGACGCUAAUUCACUGGGCAACUUUCCUGUGGGCAGUUGGUUUGGAAUGUUCUGGGUUCUGAGACAUUUGGGAGUCAAACAGACCAGUGGUCAUUCAGGGUGGUCACCUGGCCACCAGCAAGGCAGCUAGUAGCAUUAAGUACUGGGGGGCACGGGAUGGGGAGAUGGGGAUGUGUUUUUCAUUCUCACACCUCCCCAGGCCCCAUCCAUCAGGGGGAAAAGGCAUUGUUUUCUGGGUCAGGGAUUGAAAUAGAGAGGCAGGAGUUGGGUUGGGUUUUGGGCCAUUCUCUUGGGCCAGCACCUCCUUAGGGAGCCAGCUGUCUCCCUGCAGCAACCUUGCGGCCAAAGGAUGUGGGCCAGGGAGUGAGGAAAGGGCUUGGUUUCAGUAUGCAGGGCAUGAUCUCCUAUCCAGGUGAUCAGAGAUCUCUGUCCUCAGGGAAUUGUCUGUAUCCCCUGCCUCUGAACCAUAAGUCAUCAGUGCUGUGAUUCUGAGUGAGCCACUUAAUCUCUCUAAAUGUCAAUGCCCUGAACCAUAAAAUAUAGGUCCCAGCCCCUUCUCUGCCCACCCCACAGUCCAUUCAUGAGCAUCACCAGAAUUAACAGGUUUUCUUCACUAUUAGAAGUGCAAUAUUGAAGUCUCCUAGUUUUAUUGUUGAGAGAUCAGUUUCUCCUUUUAAUUGUCAGUUCCAUGUACUUUGACGCUCUCCUUUUGAGUGCAAAAUGUUUACAAUGAUCUCUUUGAAGGAUGGACACUUUGUCACUGUACCAUGUCCUUCUUUGUCUCUAGAAAAAAACUGUCAUAAAGCUUAUUUGUCUUCACAAA